CAGCCGCGGUAUUCCAGCUCCAAUAGCGUAUAUUAAAGUUGUUGCAGUUAAAAAGCUCGUAGUUGAAUUUCGGGAUCAAUUUGCUGGUCGUGCCUUCGGUACGCACUGGUAUUAUUGGUUUCUCCUUUCUGAUGAAUCGCGAUGUCAUUAAUUUGGUGUCGUGGGGAAUCAGGACUGUUACUUUGAAAAAAUUAGAGUGUUUAAAGCAGGCUCACGCUUGAAUACAUUAGCAUGGAAUAAUGAAAUAGGACGUUUGAUUCUAUUUUGUUGGUUUCUAGGAUCGACGUAAUGAUUAAUAGGGAUAGUUGGGGGCAUUAGUAUUCAAUUGUCAGAGGUGAAAUUCUUGGAUUUAUUGAAGACUAACUACUGCGAAAGCAUUUGCCAAGGAUGUUUUCAUUAAUCAAGAACGAAAGUUAGGGGAUCGAAGACGAUCAGAUACCGUCGUAGUCUUAACCAUAAACUAUGCCGACUAGGGAUCGGAUGAUGUUAAUUUUUUAAUGACUCAUUCGGCGCCUUACG
rnacentral:misc_RNA from 1 species